UUCUUCGGAAUGAAAUUAAGUGGAUUAGUGGCGAACGGGUGAGUAACACGUGAGUAACCUGCCUUACGCAAGGGGAUAGCCUUUGGAAACGAAGAAUAAUACCCUAUAAAGUCAAUUUAUCGCAUGAUAGAGUGACCAAAGAUUUAUCGGUGUAAGAUGGACUUGCGUCUGAUUAGCUAGUUGGUGAGAUAAAAGCCCACCAAGGCGACGAUCAGUAGCCGGCUUGAGAGAGUGUACGGCCACAUUGGGACUGAGACACGGCCCAAACUCCUACGGGAGGCAGCAGUGGGGAAUUUUGCACAAUGGGGGAAACCCUGAUGCAGCGACGCCGCGUGAUUUAGAAGGCCUUCGGGUUGUAAAAAUCUUUUUUAUGGGAUGAAAAUGACAGUACCAUAAGAAUAAGGUCCGGCUAAAUACGUGCCAGCAGCCGCGGUAAUACGUAUGGAUCGAGCGUUGUCCGGAAUCAUUGGGCGUAAAGGGUACGUAGGCGGCCUAGUAAGUUAGAAGUGAAAUAAUAUAGCUCAACUAUAUAAAGCUUUUAAAACUGUUAGGCUUGAGAGAUGAAAGGGAAAGUGGAAUUCCUAGUGUAGCGGUGAAAUGCGCAGAUAUUAGGAAGAAUACCGGUGGCGAAGGCGACUUUCUGGUCAUCAUCUGACGCU
rnacentral:rRNA from 1 species